GUGUGAAGGUUAGAUAAGCUUUUUUAAGCUUGAAGGUUACAUUCAAAGUGAAGGUACCUUUGCAGACCUUUGUCCCUUUGCCUUUGGUUUAUAAGGGUACUUCCAAAAGUUUUCCAAAGAAACCAGAAUUAAAAGGUAAGUUAUUUUGGUCCUUUUUUUGACCCAGGCAAAUCUGUUUUUAUAACAUCCUUUCUCAUGAACUUCUUGAAGAACCCUCAUAUAGUAUAAGUCUAAUUAUACUUUUCCUGGAAUUCAACUUGCAAAAGUUUAUUAUUGGCUAAAGCCAAUCAAUAUGCCGUAUUUAACUUGCUGUUCAAUUCUCCAUACUCCCUUGUUACUUGUGAAGCUUCUUCCAAACUUUGUGUCAUCAUCAUUACUGACUUUCUCAUUUCUUAUUUUUGCUCGUAUUCCUAAGAGACUCAUGGCUGCCAAAGAAAACCAGAAAAGCAUGUUGACUGAGGGAGCUCUUCUCAUGCCUGUGAUCUCAGAGCUGCUCCCUUCUCCAUCCCAACUGAUGUGUUUUAAGUGGACCUGACAUUUCCUGAUUGGAGGAGUGGCCAGGUGAGACAUGUACAUAGUGAGUUCUAGUUUAUCAGUUUGUUGACCAUAGUUGUUGCUCAGCAAUUCCUACCUACCCCAAAUAAGUUGAUUAUGUACCCUCAGAUCUACAACUAUCUGAGUUUUGCUUGUUUGUUUGAGGGACAUAAAUAGAGCAAAUCUCUUUUUCCAGGACAUUAGUUCACAGUAUGAUUCAAAGUUAUGGGCAGAAAUUAUGUUAUCACAUUUGCUAGAGUGAUGUGGUGAGCCAGAAGUUGGAAAUGACCAGGUCUAAGAGAGAGAGGUCAGACCUCUGGAUCAAGUUCACCAAAGUUAAUGGAUGCUUCAUUUGUGAAUCAGUUCCUUUUUAUUGUUUAAUUCUGUUUUAGCUUAGUUUUCUAUCUUUACAAUCAAAAAAAGAACAGGUCAGGUAAUUUUGGCAGAUUAAAGAUGGCUACAGAUCUGUUGAUACUCCUUUGUUGACAGAUUGAAUCUUGGAUCCCUCAUCUUGAAUCUUGGGGGGCUCAAUUACUGUUAUACUGAAUAUUAAAUGGUGGAAGAAAGAUGGCACCAGUUUCUGGGUUCAUACUUUAAGACACCAGCAGAUUCCAUAUCCUUUCUCUUGGAACACAUUCCCUGGGUGCUCUGAGAUACAUGGAAAAAGUCUAGCACCCUGCUACAUAAAACAGACUAUGUAUAAGUGCUUUGGUUAAUAUUCCUAGCUGUUCCCAGACUUCCAUCCAAGAUGCUGGGCAUGUGAUUAAAGCUAUCUGGGACUCUCCAGACUGGCUCAUCCAUUGGGGGUCCAUUCAAUUAGAGAAAAUAAGUGGCUUAAAUACCACAAAAUGACCUU
rnacentral:lncRNA from 1 species